UGUCUAUAAAUAAACCCAAAGCACUACUCCUCGCUUUUCCAUUUUCAACAAACCCCAUUUCCCUUUUUCUUCUCCCUCUUUUCUCUUUUCUUCUGCUCCGUUCAUCCCUUCCAUGCCUGGCCCUCCUUCCAAAUCCCACUUUUCCCUUAAAAAGAUCACCGGCUUUCAAUCUCCCACUCUCCAUUCUUCUUCUUCUUCUCAUCCUCCUCCUCCUCCUCCAUCGAGAGUCGCGAAAUAUAAUCCCACUCACGGAAGGUCCUGCUUCUUCUUUCGUUUUCUUCUUUUCCUUUUCGAAUUGCAAAAGCAUUCGUUGACUCUCCCUUUUUCUUGCUUUUGAUUUUUCUUCCUAAACCCCAUCGAUUUGUGUGCUGUUUGUGUGUGUGUGUGUGUGAUUGACUGAUUGUGUUCGCGAAGGAAAAGGUGAAGCUGCCAGCAUGAUCUACCUCUGGUCUGCUAGCUUGAAAAGACAAAAGCGUAAAGAUAAAGAGAUUGAUUCAUACCAAUUUCUUUUUUCUUGAUCCUCCAUUGCUAACCCUAGUUAGGUCAUGCUCUGACAGCCUCACUCCUUCCUACUCGCGAACUCUCCAGAAAUUUCAAUCUCCCUUCCAUUUCAACAACCAUCCUCGCUCAAUCGAGAGUAGAUAAGAAAUAAUGAAUUUAUAGAUGGAUGAAUGACUUAUAUUAAAAUCAUCGACAGAUUUAAUAUAGGUACUGAGACUGAGUCCCUCAUCUUUAUUGUUUUUAUAUAAUAUAUAUAUAUAAAGAAAAUUAUUUAAUUUUUAAUAUUUAUAGUUAGUUUAGCGAUUACUGUCAAUCUCCUUUCAACCCAAAUUCAAAUCUUAUUUAUGUAAUUUAUUUUUCAUAUUUUUCUUUUAGCUUCUUGUGAAUAUAUUUUCUUCUAGAUCUCACCGAUUAAAAUGGAAAACAAAAUAACAAGAUGAAAGUUGACAUAUUCAAUGUAUGUCUAUGGAAGUCGGUGGAGUGUAAUUUUCUUUUUACAAUAUGAAGUGAUGCAUUGAAAUAGAGAAGAUUUCAAUUUUAUGUUGUUUUAAAGCAUGAGCAGUGGGAUUAUGGAGAAAAUCAUUGUCAGAUUGUGGAGCUUUGGGUUGUUUUUUAAUUUUGUCUUGUAGUAAGCAUGGGGAGAAGUGUGCACGUGAUUGUAGAAAAAGAAUUACGUGGUGGGUAAGUAGGAUGAACAUAGGUGGGCGAUGGUAACACAUGAUUAAAUAAUGUAGACACAGAGAGUAUAGACACCUAGAGAACAAAACAAAUAAAAUCUUCAAUCUUUAAAAAGAAUCAAACUAGGAAAAAAUAAAGAAUCAAACGGAGCUUUUUCUCUUUCUCUUCUAUAGGCCUUUUGUUUUUCUUACCAGUAAUUAUUUUGUUUUAUUUUCUUACUAUAUUCAACUUUCCUUUAUAGGUCAGGUUUUCUUAUAGGCCACAAGAUUCUGCUUCUAUUGGUUUCAUUAUUAUUAAUAUAAAAAUUGUUUCCAAGAUCAUAAUUUUCAUCCCUCAGAUGAAAAUGAAAGGUCAUUUUAAUUGCCGAUAUUAGUUAAUAUUCGUUUUAUUUUCAAUGAAAGUAUAAUGGAAUAUUAGCGGUUUGUCUAGGCUUGAUUGAUUGCCUCUUUCUCAUCCCUUUCAAUUGCACAAACCACUCUUAGAGAAGAGCUAAAUAGUGUUAGUUGCAAUGAAACUUUGGAUCUUUUAAAUUUAAAAAUUGAGCUUAAUGUUAAAAUUAGAUUAAGAAAACAAUCAUAUACUUAUUUUUGUAUAAAUUUUGACAUUUUGGAAAUUUAGAGGUCCAAUAUUUACUAUUGUUACUGUUAUAACUUUUUAGGAUAUGAAUGAUUUAACAAUGUUGUUUAAUAAUUGAGUGGCUUGACAAGGCUGGAAUUCAAUUUACUUUGUGAUUGUAAUCCUUUGUCGACCAAGUGAUAGAAGAUUAUGAUUUAGUACUUAACAAUUUAGAUUAGAAGCUAAUUUGUAUAAAGAUUCAACCAUAUUAUGGAUUGUCUGAGGAGACUCCUCUACGAGAUAUAAAGUAUUAUAUUAAUCAACGCAUUGUAAUUUUUCCUAGGCAAUAAAGUGACUCGAGAAAUCUUUGAUAUUGACGUCAUCUCCCCAUUGUUUUCGUUGUGUUUAUGGUUACUUCAUGUGCCCUAUUUACCGCUGAAUGUACUGAGAUGGAAUCAGUCCUCCAAUAUUUAUAAUUUUGCGAAGUUAUUUUUUGGAAGAAUUCUUUUUUCUUUUCUUUAAUCAAAUGUAUUAUUAUUUAUAUUUGUUGAAAUCAUAGUAAUAACGAGUGCGUUUACACA